rnacentral:rRNA from 1 species
UUAAGCGACUAAGCGUACACGGUGGAUGCCCUGGCAGUCAGAGGCGAUGAAGGACGUGCUAAUCUGCGAAAAGCGUCGGUAAGGUGAUAUGAACCGUUAUAACCGGCGAUGUCCGAAUGGGGAAACCCAGUGUGAUUCGUCACACUAUCGUUAACUGAAUACAUAGGUUAACGAGGCGAACCGGGGGAACUGAAACAUCUAAGUACCCCGAGGAAAAGAAAUCAACCGAGAUUCCCCCAGUAGCGGCGAGCGAACGGGGAGCAGCCCAGAGUCUGAAUCAGCUUGUGUGUUAGUGGAACGGUCUGGAAAGUCCGACGGUACAGGGUGAUAGUCCCGUACACCAAAAUGCACAGGUUGUGAACUCGAAGAGUAGGGCGGGACACGUGGUAUCCUGUCUGAAUAUGGGGGGACCAUCCUCCAAGGCUAAAUACUCCUGACUGACCGAUAGUGAACCAGUACCGUGAGGGAAAGGCGAAAAGAACCCCGGCGAGGGGAGUGAAAAAGAACCUGAAACCGUGUACGUACAAGCAGUGGGAGCACCUUCGGGUGUGACUGCGUACCUUUUGUAUAAUGGGUCAGCGACUUAUAUUCUGUAGCAAGGUUAACCGUAUAGGGGAGCCGCAGGGAAACCGAGUCUUAACUGGGCGUUAAGUUGCAGGGUAUAGACCCGAAACCCGGUGAUCUAGCCAUGGGCAGGUUGAAGGUUGGGUAACACUAACUGGAGGACCGAACCGACUAAUGUUGAAAAAUUAGCGGAUGACUUGUGGCUGGGGGUGAAAGGCCAAUCAAACCGGGAGAUAGCUGGUUCUCCCCGAAAGCUAUUUAGGUAGCGCCUCGUGAACUCAUCUUCGGGGGUAGAGCACUGUUUCGGCUAGGGGGUCAUCCCGACUUACCAACCCGAUGCAAACUACGAAUACCGAAGAAUGUUAUCACGGGAGACACACGGCGGGUGCUAACGUCCGUCGUGAAGAGGGAAACAACCCAGACCGCCAGCUAAGGUCCCAAAGUCAUGGUUAAGUGGGAAACGAUGUGGGAAGGCACAGACAGCCAGGAUGUUGGCUUAGAAGCAGCCAUCAUUUAAAGAAAGCGUAAUAGCUCACUGGUCGAGUCGGCCUGCGCGGAAGAUGUAACGGGGCUAAACCAUGCACCGAAGCUGCGGCAGCGACACUAUGUGUUGUUGGGUAGGGGAGCGUUCUGUAAGCCUGCGAAGGUGACCUGUGAGGGUUGCUGGAGGUAUCAGAAGUGCGAAUGCUGACAUAAGUAACGAUAAAGCGGGUGAAAAGCCCGCUCGCCGGAAGACCAAGGGUUCCUGUCCAACGUUAAUCGGGGCAGGGUGAGUCGACCCCUAAGGCGAGGCCGAAAGGCGUAGUCGAUGGGAAACAGGUUAAUAUUCCUGUACUUGGUGUUACUGCGAAGGGGGGACGGAGAAGGCUAUGUUAGCCGGGCGACGGUUGUCCCGGUUUAAGCAUGUAGGCUGAUUAUCCAGGCAAAUCCGGAUAAUCAAGGCUGAGGUGUGAUGACGAGGCACUACGGUGCUGAAGUAACAAAUGCCCUGCUUCCAGGAAAAGCCUCUAAGCAUCAGGUAACAUCAAAUCGUACCCCAAACCGACACAGGUGGUCAGGUAGAGAAUACCAAGGCGCUUGAGAGAACUCGGGUGAAGGAACUAGGCAAAAUGGUGCCGUAACUUCGGGAGAAGGCACGCUGGUGUGUAGGUGAAGCCCCUGCGGGUGGAGCUGAGACCAGUCGAAGAUACCAGCUGGCUGCAACUGUUUAUUAAAAACACAGCACUGUGCAAACACGAAAGUGGACGUAUACGGUGUGACGCCUGCCCGGUGCCGGAAGGUUAAUUGAUGGGGUUAUCCGUAAGGAGAAGCUCUUGAUCGAAGCCCCGGUAAACGGCGGCCGUAACUAUAACGGUCCUAAGGUAGCGAAAUUCCUUGUCGGGUAAGUUCCGACCUGCACGAAUGGCGUAAUGAUGGCCAGGCUGUCUCCACCCGAGACUCAGUGAAAUUGAACUCGCUGUGAAGAUGCAGUGUACCCGCGGCAAGACGGAAAGACCCCGUGAACCUUUACUAUAGCUUGACACUGAACAUUGAGCCUUGAUGUGUAGGAUAGGUGGGAGGCUUUGAAGCGUGGACGCCAGUCUGCGUGGAGCCAACCUUGAAAUACCACCCUUUAAUGUUUGAUGUUCUAACGUUGGCCCCUGACCGGGGUUGCGGACAGUGUCUGGUGGGUAGUUUGACUGGGGCGGUCUCCUCCCAAAGCGUAACGGAGGAGCACGAAGGUUAGCUAAUCCUGGUCGGACAUCAGGAGGUUAGUGCAAUGGCAUAAGCUAGCUUGACUGCGAGCGUGACGGCGCGAGCAGGUGCGAAAGCAGGUCAUAGUGAUCCGGUGGUUCUGAAUGGAAGGGCCAUCGCUCAACGGAUAAAAGGUACUCCGGGGAUAACAGGCUGAUACCGCCCAAGAGUUCAUAUCGACGGCGGUGUUUGGCACCUCGAUGUCGGCUCAUCACAUCCUGGGGCUGAAGUAGGUCCCAAGGGUAUGGCUGUUCGCCAUUUAAAGUGGUACGCGAGCUGGGUUUAGAACGUCGUGAGACAGUUCGGUCCCUAUCUGCCGUGGGCGCUGGAGAAUUGAGGGGGGCUGCUCCUAGUACGAGAGGACCGGAGUGGACGCAUCACUGGUGUUCGGGUUGUCAUGCCAAUGGCACUGCCCGGUAGCUAAAUGCGGAAGAGAUAAGUGCUGAAAGCAUCUAAGCACGAAACUUGCCCCGAGAUGAGUUCUCCCUGAGACUUUAAGUCUCCUGAAGGAACGUUAAAGACGAUGACGUUGAUAGGCCGGGUGUGUAAGCGCAGCGAUGCGUUGAGCUAACCGGUACUAAUGAACCGUGAGGCUUAACCUU